GGCCUCGUGGCCCAAUGGCAAGGCGUCUGACUACGAGAGAGAGAUCAUUCAGAAAUGACUCCUCACGGCGAUCAGGAGAUUCUGGGUUCGACCCCCAGCGAGGUCA
rnacentral:tRNA from 1 species